rnacentral:rRNA from 1 species
AAUGAACGCUGGCGGCAGGCCUAACACAUGCAAGUCGAACGGGUCCUUCGGGACUAGUGGCGGACGGGUGAGUAACGCGUGGGAACGUGCCCUUUGCUACGGAAUAGCCCCGGGAAACUGGGAGGAAUACCGUAUAAGCCCUACGGGGGAAAGAUUUAUCGGCAAAGGAUCGGCCCGCGUUGGAUUAGGUAGUUGGUGGGGUAAUGGCCUACCAAGCCGACGAUCCAUAGCUGGUUUGAGAGGAUGAUCAGCCACACUGGGACUGAGACACGGCCCAGACUCCUACGGGAGGCAGCAGUGGGGAAUCUUAGACAAUGGGGGAAACCCUGAUCUAGCCAUGCCGCGUGAUCGAUGAAGGCCUUAGGGUUGUAAAGAUCUUUCAGGUGGGAAGAUAAUGACUGUACCACCAGAAGAAGCCCCGGCUAACUCCGUGCCAGCAGCCGCAGUAA